UUGAAGUUGAAUACUUCAACUUGCAGACAUGAAAAAUUUGAAGAUUUCAACUUACAUACUUGGAAGAUUCAAGGAAUUCAAAU
rnacentral:pre_miRNA from 1 species